CUACGUGCCAGCAGCCGCGGUAAGACGUAGGACGCGAGCGUUAUCCGGAUUUACUGGGCGUAAAGCGCCUGUAGGCGGCUUUGUAAGUUGGGCGUGAAAGCCCCGUGCUUAACGCGGGGAGGCCGUUCAAUACUGCGGAGCUAGAGUACGGCAGAGGGGAGUGGAAUUCCUGGAGUAGCGGUAAAAUGCGCAGAUAUCAGGAGGAACACCAGUGGCGAAGGCGGCUCCCUGGGCCGAGACUGACGCUCAGAGGCGAAAGCUAGGGGAGCGAACAGGAUUAGAGACCCUGGUAGUCCUAGCCCUAAACGAUGGAUGCUAGGUGUGGGGACGAGGAGUUUCCGUGCCGGAGCAAACGCGAUAAGCAUCCCGCCUGGGGACUACGGCCGCAAGGUUAAAACUCAAACGAAUUGACGGGGGCCCGCACAAGCAGCGGAGCGUGUGGUUUAAUUCGAUGCUACACGAAGAACCUUACCUGGGUUUGACAUGUAGGUGGUAGCGAGGCGAAAGCUGAGCGACCCUUCGGGGAGCCUACACAGGUGCUGCAUGGCUGUCGUCAGCUCGUGCCGUGAGGUGUCGGGUUAAGUCCCGUAACGAGCGCAACCCUUGCUCCUAGUUAUACGUGUCUAGGGGGACUGCCGGCGGGAAGCCGGAGGAAGGUGGGGAUGACGUCAAGUCAGCAUGGCCCUUAUGUCCAGGGCUACACACACGCUACAAUGGCCAGUACAAAGGGUAGCGAAGCCGCGAGGUGGAGCGAAUCUCAGCAAAGCUGGUCGUAGUUCGGAUUGCAGGCUGCAACCCGCCUGCAUGAAGCUGGAGUUG
rnacentral:rRNA from 1 species